AUUGAACGCUGGCGGCAUGCUUUACACAUGCAAGUCGAACGGUAACAGGCCGCAAGGUGCUGACGAGUGGCGAACGGGUGAGUAAUGCAUCGGAACGUGCCCAGUCGAGGGGGAUAACUACUCGAAAGAGUAGCUAAUACCGCAUACGAUCUAUGGAUGAAAGCGGGGGACCGUAAGGCCUCGCGCGAUUGGAGCGGCCGAUGUCAGAUUAGGUAGUUGGUGGGGUAAAGGCUCACCAAGCCAACGAUCUGUAGCUGGUCUGAGAGGACGACCAGCCACACUGGGACUGAGACACGGCCCAGACUCCUACGGGAGGCAGCAGUGGGGAAUUUUGGACAAUGGGCGCAAGCCUGAUCCAGCAAUGCCGCGUGCAGGAAGAAGGCCUUCGGGUUGUAAACUGCUUUUGUACGGAACGAAACGGCUCUGGUUAAUACCCGGGGCUAAUGACGGUACCGUAAGAAUAAGCACCGGCUAACUACGUG
rnacentral:rRNA from 1 species